AUUGAAAACAACUGGACAAAUAAUCCAGUGAGUUUUAAACAAUCUAAAUCUAAACAGCAAUUAUGGAUGGAAGGAGUAGUCCAGGGAAAACCCAACAAAGGGAACCUGAAGUAGAGAAGGAACUGCAACAGGAACCAACAUUUAGAGCAUACUGAAUCUAUUCUGCUUCUAUUCAACUAAAUGGAACAUUCCAAGGAUUCAAUGGAUGGGACCUUUCUUCUCAGUCAUCCCCAUGAUAACAGCAUAAAGUCACUGAGGUGUAUUUGGCCUCCAAGUCCACGCUCUGUCUGCGGCACAACAUGACAAGUACUUGGAAGAGGAGACUGAUGGCUUGACCAAGAUGCAGAGAAAAUUAAGUUUCCAUGCUCUUAACCUCAGAGCAGCUCCACGGGAUUAGGAAGCUCACCAUUGAUUAUUCUCGCUGGCCAGGCAAAGCCUGGACUUUAGGAGCCGGCUAUGGAAAAGUGAGCAAAUAUGGAGAUGGAAACUCUGGGAGAAAUCCAGGGGUAAGGAAAUUUUAUUUCUUAUGCCCAUGUGGCCUUGGUGGCUUCCCUUAUCUAUAUGCAGUGUCUGGCUCUCAGUCAGUACUCAGGAGUUGCUUGCUGGGGACCGUGUGUGUGUGUGUGUGUGUGUGUGUGUGUGUGUGUGUGUGUGGUGUUUGUGAUAUUAUGAUGCUAACUGGGGCCUCAGAAGAACCCCCCACAUGAUUUCAUCUUUGAACAAGUGUACACGGGAUAAGGAUUAGCCAAGAUACACUGGACUUGGAGCUACAGAAUUACUAGCACUUCAGGCAGCCAUGGAGAUGAGGUACACUGUCCCCAAUUCUCUUAUGAACUGUAUUCUUUCUAGCUCCCCCUCCACCAAACAUCACCCUCUGCUCCCUGAUUCCCAAGACCAAGAAGUGAUUGUGUCCAGCUCAUCUUUGGAGCCCAGGCCAUGUUACAAGUCGGGCAAGUCUAUGGAUCCACUGAAAAAGUAAUAAACUAAUAUUCACCUUAUAGAACUAUUUUAGG
rnacentral:lncRNA from 12 species